rnacentral:lncRNA from 1 species
AUGUGUCCCUUUACAGGGCUGAUGCUCUUCUUUCACCUUCCCAGAGUGUUGUGUCUGAAUUUUGAGAAGAAUAGUAAGCUGCCACAGGAACUGGACAGAAAAUCACCAGUUAUAACUGCUGCAAAAGGAACCAAGGCACUUUUGUACUGCCAACCAAAUGUUGUAAGGAACUGAACCCAAUUCCUUCCUGUUGCUGCCUGCAUGGUAUGGCUGCCUGGAGAAAGGAGAGAUUGCAGGUGAGCCAGCCACUGACCCUACUUUCCCUGUUGCGCACGGGCCACCGCUGAGCAGGCUUCAAGCCCUUCUCUGUGCAGGUGCACUUGGUAGCAGCUGAUGCAAGGGGACAGAUGCUGGGAACUGAUUAUGCUGCCAUGUGCCAAACACUAAUAAUCUCUUAUCCACAUUCAGACAGCAGAUAUUAGUAAUUUUAGUUUUGGCGUUACAUUAUGCUAUUUGCAGAUGCCUGAAAUUUUUUGUCAUAAUCACCUGGUAAACUGCACUGUAGAAUGUUUUUCUCAUCUUCUCUCCUGUCACAUUAAGACAGAAAAUAAGUAAGGUGAAGAAAUAGGAAUUUCCCGUUCAAAGAACAGAAGCUUGGAGUUGGAAAUGCAAAGAGAAACAUGUGUUGUGAACAGGAGGGACUUACAGCUGGUGGCUGCUCUGUGAGCAAUACAAGGUCUCAGGGUACUUCCUAGUGAACAGAUGUUGUGCUCCUAAAAUGAGCAUGGCCACAAUUAGUAGACAUGUUGGUAGUCUAGUAGAAUGGUCAGGGAAUACUUAUGUAGAUAGGUGAUCAGUUCAGAUCAUUAAUGGUUUUAUUAAUAAUGUAGGAUUUGCUGUGUUGAACAGCAAAGUGCAGAAACACUGUGACAAAAAAGCACACAAGACUUGAUAUGGCCACUGAUGUUGCAGAGCUUGCUUUGUAAGGCCUUAAUUCUUUGGUACUACUAAAUGAUUGUAAUGCAAAGGGAAAAGUGAAAAUCUUAUGUAUAACACAGGUAGCAGAUAACACUAGUAAAAAUCAGACUUCAGAAAAAAAUAAGGGAUUGUCUCUGUGGGAUAUAAUACUUUUAAAGUAACAGUAAUAGCAAGUAUUUAAUAUCUUGUACCUAUAGGAGUGGUAUUUUUAUUAGUAAACAUUUAAAUAACAAAAUAAUAACAAAUAAUAAUAAUAACAAAAAUAAUAUUUUUAUUAGUAAACGUUUCUAGCUGUUUAAUUUAUUAUUGGUUUCAGGCUUUUCUUCUCCACACCCUUGCUCCCUUGGUAGAAACUUAUCUUCCAUGACAACAAAAAUCUAUAAAUAAAUUCCAUCAUAGGAGAAUAAAUGGAAACUAA